ensembl:lncRNA
CACAAUGAGCGUGGGAGUGUGGGAAUAUCUGCAACAUACAGUUUUCAAUUCCUCUGGAUAUGUACACAGAAGUAGAACUAAUGUACAACAUGGCGAUUGCAUUUUUCCUUUCCCAAGGAACCUCCGCCUUAUUUUCAAGAACAGCUGAAAUCAUUUGUGACAUCAUCAGUAGAACACAGGUGUUCUUUCUGCAUUUCUUCACCGACAUCUGUUUCUCAUCAUUAUCUUGGUUGUUUGACACAGGGCUCUCUUUGUAGUCCAGGCUGGCCUUGAACUAUCCCUUCCUGCUUUAGCCUCCCAAGUAUUAGGAUGAUAGCUGUGUGUAACCAUACCAGCCUUCUUUCAUUAUUUUGCCCAUAGCCAUCUUCAUAGGAUUUGCGCUGUGGGCUUAUCGUUUACUGGGGUUGCUGAAGUUUAAAAGGAAAACGGGCAGUAACGUGUCUGAGUCAACUCUUCUUGAAGAUGACAUCUCAUUCUGUCUUGCUAUUUAGGCCUGAGUGUCAACUUGUCAAGACCACGACUAUUGGAAAACUGUUUGAUGGCUGAAACUCUGUGGUGGAGCCCUGCUGUGCUGUAUCACAAAGUCACUUGAAAACCUAAAAUUCAAGUUCAAUAAAACAUUGAUAUUUUAAUUGCGUAGGCAUUCCUAUACCUUGAA